UACGAAGGGGGCUAGCGUUGUUCGGAAUUACUGGGCGUAAAGCGCACGUAGGCGGGUUGUUAAGUCAGGGGUGAAAUCCUGGAGCUCAACUCCAGAACUGCCUUUGAUACUGGCAACCUAGAGACUGGAAGAGGUUAGUGGAAUUCCCAGUGUAGAGGUGAAAUUCGUAGAUAUUCGGAAGAACACCAGUGGCGAAGGCGACUUACUGGACGAUUGUUGACGCUGAGGUGCGAAAGCGUGGGGAGCAAACAGG
rnacentral:rRNA from 1 species